rnacentral:rRNA from 1 species
AGAGUUUGAUCCUGGCUCAGGAUGAACGCUGGCGGCGUGCUUAACACAUGCAAGUCGAACGAUGAAGCCCAGCUUGCUGGGUGGAUUAGUGGCGAACGGGUGAGUAACACGUGAGUAACCUGCCCUUAACUCUGGGAUAAGCCUGGGAAACUGGGUCUAAUACCGGAUAGGAGCGUCCACCGCAUGGUGGGUGUUGGAAAGAUUUAUCGGUUUUGGAUGGACUCGCGGCCUAUCAGCUUGUUGGUGAGGUAAUGGCUCACCAAGGCGACGACGGGUAGCCGGCCUGAGAGGGUGACCGGCCACACUGGGACUGAGACACGGCCCAGACUCCUACGGGAGGCAGCAGUGGGGAAUAUUGCACAAUGGGCGAAAGCCUGAUGCAGCGACGCCGCGUGAGGGAUGACGGCCUUCGGGUUGUAAACCUCUUUCAGUAGGGAAGAAGCGAAAGUGACGGUACCUGCAGAAGAAGCACCGGCUAACUACGUGCCAGCAGCCGCGGUAAUACGUAGGGUGCGAGCGUUAUCCGGAAUUAUUGGGCGUAAAGAGCUCGUAGGCGGUUUGUCGCGUCUGUCGUGAAAGUCCGGGGCUUAACCCCGGAUCUGCGGUGGGUACGGGCAGACUAGAGUGCAGUAGGGGAGACUGGAAUUCCUGGUGUAGCGGUGGAAUGCGCAGAUAUCAGGAGGAACACCGAUGGCGAAGGCAGGUCUCUGGGCUGUAACUGACGCUGAGGAGCGAAAGCAUGGGGAGCGAACAGGAUUAGAUACCCUGGUAGUCCAUGCCGUAAACGUUGGGCACUAGGUGUGGGGACCAUUCCACGGUUUCCGCGCCGCAGCUAACGCAUUAAGUGCCCCGCCUGGGGAGUACGGCCGCAAGGCUAAAACUCAAAGGAAUUGACGGGGGCCCGCACAAGCGGCGGAGCAUGCGGAUUAAUUCGAUGCAACGCGAAGAACCUUACCAAGGCUUGACAUGUUCCCGAUCGCCGUAGAGAUACGAUUUCCCCUUUGGGGCGGGUUCACAGGUGGUGCAUGGUUGUCGUCAGCUCGUGUCGUGAGAUGUUGGGUUAAGUCCCGCAACGAGCGCAACCCUCGUUCCAUGUUGCCAGCACGUAAUGGUGGGGACUCAUGGGAGACUGCCGGGGUCAACUCGGAGGAAGGUGAGGACGACGUCAAAUCAUCAUGCCCCUUAUGUCUUGGGCUUCACGCAUGCUACAAUGGCCGGUACAAUGGGUUGCGAUACUGUGAGGUGGAGCUAAUCCCAAAAAGGGCUCUCCUGACUGAUCCGUGGGUCAUUUCCGGCCCGGUAGGACGGGUCGGUGGCCGCCGAGGUUGAGCAUGGCCAGGGCGAUGAGGGCUUCGGGGGACUUGAAGCCGAAGGCGACGCGGGUGAUGAGCCGAAUCUUCGUGUUCACGGACUCGAUACGUCCGUUGGACAGGCCGUGCUCGAUCGCGGCGAGGAUCGAGGCCUUGUGCUUGACGAUGCGGCGUUGGAGCUCGACGAAGGCGGGGAUGCGGCAACGUCGGGCCCAGCCGAUCCAGCGUUCCAGGGCCGUCUCGGCCUCGUCGGCGGGUAGCUGGAAGACCAGGCGCAGUCCUUCCUUGAGCAGGUAGGCCCGGUGCAGGCGCGGGUCGGUCUUGGCGACCCAGGCGAGCUUGGCCUGCUGCCGGGUGGUGAGGUUCUCGGGGUUCUUCCACAGCGCGUACCGGGCGUGCUUGAGCGCCUUGGCGUGCCCGCCGGCCCGCCCGGCCCGGCGCUGCCGGACCGCGCCACGGGCCUCGUUCCACGCCUGGCGACGGACCUCGUCCAGGGCCUCGGUGGCCCACUUGACGAUGUGGAACGGAUCAGCGCACCGCACCGCGUUCGGGCACCGCUCGGCGACCACGGCGGCGAUCCAGUCCGCCCCGUCGGCGCUGACGUGGGUGAUCUCGGCGCACCGGUCGGGCCCGAGGGCCUCGAAGAACGCCGCCAGGGUCGCCUUGUCCCGGCCCGGGGCGGCCCAGACGAGCCGGCCGGUGUCGUGGUCGACCACGAUCGUGAGGUAGCGGUGGCCCUUCUUGUAGGAGAUCUCAUCGAUGCCGAUCCGUCGCAGGCCGGCGAACCGGUCGCCGAGGGCCUCCACGUCGGCCCAGACCCGGGUGAUGAUCGCCCCGACGGUGCGCCAGGCGAUGCGCAUCAGCUCGGUGACCGCGGACUUGGAGCACUGCGUGGCCAGCCAGGCCACCUGCUCGUCGAACACCACGGUGUGACCGGCCCCGUGCCUGGCCCACGGGACGGCGGCCACCGUGGGACCGUGCUCGCGGCAGGCCACCCGCGGGGCGUCGGCCUCGAGGUAGACCUGCACCGUGCCCAGAUCCAGCGCCCGCCACCGCCGCCGACCCUCGCCACGGUCGUACCCGGGCGACCUGCGCCCGCACCGCCCGCACCGGCCACGCACUCGAGCCCGGGGACGGACAUGAGCCACCAGGAGCUGGUCGUCCUCAUCGAACUCGAUGCCCUCCACGACCGUCUUCUCGACGCCCAGCAAGGACCGCCAUAGGCUUGCGUUCCGCACGCCGUUCUCCGCCCUUCAGGUAACUGACCUCAACAGCCAGAAACCUAGGCAGAGAGCGGCGUGCCCUCGUCAACGGCUCGCCAGAACACCCACGGAAGCGUCAGGAGAGCCCCAAAAAGCCGGUCUCAGUUCGGAUUGGGGUCUGCAACUCGACCCCAUGAAGUCGGAGUCGCUAGUAAUCGCAGAUCAGCAACGCUGCGGUGAAUACGUUCCCGGGCCUUGUACACACCGCCCGUCAAGUCACGAAAGUCGGUAACACCCGAAGCCGGUGGCCUAACCCUUGUGGGGGGAGCCGUCGAAGGUGGGACCAGCGAUUGGGACUAAGUCGUAACAAGGUAGCCGUACCGGAAGGUGCGGCUGGAUCACCU